UCAUUGUUCCAUCUUGGGCUUCUAGGCCCACGUCGCACAUUCACAACCAAAACAGCAAAUUCUGUAGGCAACGGCCAAGAAUCGUAAAUCUAAUACGAUUACCCAAUCCUAUAAGACAUACGUUCGCCAAAAUUAUCGAUUGCACGUGGUCGCUUGUGACGUAAACGAAAUCCUCUAACGGUUUUUGUGUAUUCUGUCAAUACGUUUGAAGUCGUAUUAAACCGUUGUUGUAUUUUGUGUUCUUUGAACAAUUAAAAUAAUUUAAACUAGUGAGUAGUGCGCUUACGUUUGUGUUAAUUGUAUUUCUGUAAAAAAAAACUUGGACAAAAAAGUGUUUAAGCUUUAACAAAUACUUUAAAAUUGUAUGUGCUUGAGUGGCGAGAAUUGAGAAAACAGUAUUUUUAACCUUAAACAAAGAUUUAAAAGUUUUGCGUUCGUGCUGCUUAUUAGCGGUGUUAUUAGUUAGGAGUGGGAUAAGUUACAUCAAAAAAUAGUUAGGUAUGCCCGGAACGAGAUGUGCCAUGUAUGGGUGCACUAACAACUAUUUUGUUGAAAAAGCAAGUUCUCGAAAAUGUAGUUUUCAUCGCUUUCCCAAAGGGAAAGAUCUAGUAUCCCAAACUAUUCGGAACGAGUGGAUAGUUCGGUGUAGAAGAGGGGACAAACUUAAUCCCGAUAAAAGCUAUAUCUGCUCAGUUCAUUUUACUGAAAAUGAUUACGAAAGAGACUUACAAAAUAAGUUAUUAGGCUUACCUUUAAAAAAGAUUCUAAAAAAAACUGCUGUUCCCACCCUAUUAUUAUUUAACCAGAAGCCACCAACAGGAACAGGCGUGUCUAGAUCAAAAAGACUUCAUUCCAAAAAUGCCAAAAAAGAAGCUCAGCAGGUAUUGUCUGAGGUUUUAGCAACAACAUCGAAUGCCACAAGUGAAAUUCUACAGAAAAAUCCAUCUCCAGGACCCAUUCCAGAACCCCAGUCAGAACAUAUCUCCCUUAGUCUAAAAAGAAAAUCUUUGCAAGAUGAUACCCGCAGAAAAAAAAUUAGAAAGUAUGGUAAAAUUGUAAAAUAA